AUGCCCAAGGGAAGGUCAGUGAAGCUGGGGGUGGGGGGGCAGCAGAGGAUGGGCCCAAGGGGAGUGGGACAAGGCUGUCAGCCACACCUAUUCCUGCAAAAGUGCAAGUUAAGCCACAAAAGGCUGCCAGAAAGGAUAACUCUUCAGACAAAAAAUGCAGGAACAAAAGGCAAAAUGGAAGCAAAAGAACAAAGUGGCCAACCAAGAAACUGAAGAAGACUCACCUACAAACACAGAGAAACUGAAAACCAGUAGAGUCCAGCCUCUGAAGAAAGAGAGAAGGAAGCCAAAUCUGAUUAA
rnacentral:lncRNA from 1 species